rnacentral:rRNA from 1 species
CGCUGGCGGCGUGCUUAACACGUGCGAGUCGAGCGAGGAGGCCGAGCUUGCUAGGUGGAUGAGUGGCGAACGGGGGAGUAAUACGUGAGUAACCUACCUUGAACUCUGGGAUAAGCCUGGGAAACUGGGGCUAAUACCGGAUACGACCAAUCUCCGCAUGGGGUGUUGGUGGAAAGCGUUAUGUAGUGGUUAUAGAUGGGCUCACGGCCUAUCAGCUUGUUGGUGAGGUAACGGCUCACCAAGGCGACGACGGGUAGCCGGCCUGAGAGGGUGACCGGCCACACUGGGACUGAGACACGGCCCAGACUCCUACGGGAGGCAGCAGUGGGGAAUAUUGCACAAUGGGCGCAAGCCUGAUGCAGCGACGCCGCGUGAGGGAUGACGGCCUUCGGGUUGUAAACCUCUGUUAGCAGGGAAGAAGAGAAAUUGACGGUACCUGCAGAGAAAGCGCCGGCUAACUACGUGCCAGCAGCCGCGGUAAUACGUAGGGCGCGAGCGUUGUCCGGAAUUAUUGGGCGUAAAGAGCUUGUAGGCGGUUUGUCGCGUCUGCUGUGAAGGCCGGGGCUUAACCCCGUGUAUUGCAGUGGGUACGGGCAGACUAGAGUGCAGUAGGGGAGACUGGAAUUCCUGGUGUAGCGGUGGAAUGCGCAGAUAUCAGGAGGAACACCGAUGGCGAAGGCAGGUCUCUGGGCUGUAACUGACGCUGAGAAGCGAAAGCAUGGGGAGCGAACAGGAUUAGAUACCCUGGUAGUCCAUGCCGUAAACGUUGGGCACUAGGUGUGGGGGACAUUCCACGUUUUCCGCGCCGUAGCUAACGCAUUAAGUGCCCCGCCUGGGGAGUACGGCCGCAAGGCUAAAACUCAAAGAAAUUGACGGGGGCCCGCACAAGCGGCGGAGCAUGCGGAUUAAUUCGAUGCAACGCGAAGAACCUUACCAAGGCUUGACAUAUACUGGACCGCAUCAGAGAUGGUGUUUCCCUUCGGGGCUGGUAUACAGGUGGUGCAUGGUUGUCGUCAGCUCGUGUCGUGAGAUGUUGGGUUAAGUCCCGCAACGAGCGCAACCCUCGUUCUAUGUUGCCAGCACGUUAUGGUGGGGACUCAUAGGAGACUGCCGGGGUCAACUCGGAGGAAGGUGGGGAUGACGUCAAAUUAUCAUGCCCCUUAUGUCUUGGGCUUCACGCAUGCUACAAUGGCCGGUACAGAGGGUUGCGAUACUGUGAGGUGGAGCUAAUCCCUAAAAGCCGGUCUCAGUUCGGAUUGGGGUCUGCAACUCGACCCCAUGAAGUCGGAGUCGCUAGUAAUCGCAGAUCAGCAACGCUGCGGUGAAUACGUUCCCGGGCCU